CACCACUUUAUUAAACUCAUCAUCAAGUCUCCUGAAGAACUCCACCUGAUGUUCAUCGCUUUGCUCCGACGAUGAAGCGAACAGCAUGCUCUGCCCGCUGAAAGCUCUGUACAGAGAGACCCUUCUCUUCAAGUUGCGCGUUGUCCCAUCGGAUGCCUCUGGCUGUCUCGCCCGGCUGACUUCUUUCAACACUGUUUUCAGAUGGCUGUAAUCCAGGUGGGAAGAUUUGGAUUUGACAUGAGGAUGUCCUACGUGAUUACUGCGCAAACAUCUUGACCUGCAUUAAUUUGGCAGCGUCAACCACGACACUGCUGUUGUUUAAAGAAAAGUUUUUCAUUAAUUCCUUGCCUGUUCUUUGAUCAAAUAAUAUCAAAAUUUGCUGUCCACCAAAAACUGGGAAGAGAUCCAACUGAAAAAUCAACCACAAUGGGCCACUGCUUUAAAUUCUCCACAACCGGAUGAUCAGGACUUCACUAUUACAUUGGAGAAUUUUCUUACUUAAAAGAUAUUUUUAAGUAAGUUGCGUGUUUGAGAGUGAGUAUGAAAAUUAAGUUCAUAAGUGUGAAAUUAAAUAUUAAAAUUGUAGUAAUUUUAUUUUUUGUUUUUUCUUACCUA